rnacentral:lncRNA from 1 species
CAUACCUGGGGUACAGGAGUGGAAUUGGCUGGCCUCUGUGCACUGAAAGUUCCUAUGGGAAACAGAGCCCAGCCCCUUGCCUGAGCCCCUUUGGCUGCCCGAAACUUGAUAUCUGGCAAUGGACUUAGGCCUUGUGCAGACUUUGCUCUGCUUGAUCCCCUCCCUUCCCACCUCUGCCCUCUUGACUCGCAUGCUGCCCCUAACCCAACCCAGCCUCCCAGAACCCUGACCCUUUGUGCUCCAGUCUUCAGACCUGGCUCCUCGCCUAGGCCCCUGACUGCAUUCGUUCUUCGUGUGGAGUAGUGUCACAUGGCUUCACAUGGUAUCUCUUCAUGUGGGGUGGGAAGGGGGGUCCCUUUCUUUUGCCCCCUAUCUCACUCCCCUCAGUACCUUUGCAUUGCCCACCUGCCCACUGUCUCCUCAUUCUUGUGUCACCUCUUCCUCCCCUUCCCUGCUUGCCACUUGUGCAGUUCCCUAUUUGUUGGGUCUCUCAUCAUCUUGGGUCAGGUCUGUCCCUUGCCUGGACUCCUUGCUUGGUUCCUGGCUCUCGCGCCUCUCCACACCACUGGGACCUCGUGUGAAGCCCUCCCCUCGCCUUCCUUCUGGCCCCCUUUCCCUUGCCAGCCACCUUUGCCCAGUUCCUGGCUUUGUUUCCUAUAAGCCAAUGCAGCUUAUAGGAAACAGAGCCCUGCCCCUGGCCUGGGCCCUUUGCUCUCCCUGGGCCCUUGGUCCUGCCCCCGGAGCACUGAAAGCUGGCAGUGGCCCUGGGCUUGGAGCCUGCUUCCUCCAUGCGGGAUCCCCUGCCUUUCUCCCCACCCUUGUCCACUUACCUGAGGCCCUGCUCCAGCCCUUGGCUCUUCAUUCUCUGGCCUGGCUCCUCACUUGAUCCUCUUGUGGCCCUUCUUGCUCAGGGUUUCCCUCAGGCCCCUCUCUAGGGCUGCUUCCCUGCUCCUCUUGGAUUCCCUGUACUGCAGUACCCUAGUGCAG